rnacentral:lncRNA from 1 species
AUAUACACGCAGAAUGAGGAAGACAGGCCAUUAAUUUAGAAUUUAGAGGACCAAUAAGUUUUUGAUAGCAGUGGGUUACUGUGCUAAUGAUUAUUUAACUUGCUGCAUGUUGGGUUAAGUAUGUACGAGCAUGUAAAGCGUAAUGUGUUAUUGAAGGGCUACAAUAGGAUUUUUUUGCCUCGGAAACAUAAUAUUCAGAUCAGCGGGGAAAAAGCAGCGAGAUUAUGAAAAGCAGUUACUGCAUCAUAGCACAUCUCAAUCAGUUGUGAAGCAAAACGUGCUACAGUUAAAGGAGUAAAUUUUGCUGCUGCAGGAAAAAUAAAACCGUACACAGAAACAAAACACUUCCCUGCCUCCCCCCCACUUCCCAGCCUGUUGUUUUAGCAUGGCUGUAUUUAUCGAUGCUUGCAGGCACAGGGAGGUAAGCGCUGCUGGAUAUUUUUCCUAGCUGGUUAAUCUUUAAAUUCUUCUUGUCCUUCUUCUUGGAUUUUACUUAUUUAUUUGAGAAGCGUCUUUCCACAAUAACAUACUUGGAGGCUUGGGGGUCUUUUGAGCUUUAAGGGGCAUCUGCAUGUUUCAUUUAAUAAAAUACUGAUCAUCCUUUUCCAGGUAAGAAGCACUGCCACUUCUAAGUAAGGAAAGCGAAUGGGGAGGAAAAAGUGAAACUACGCUUUGCGGCAUUUGUUCAGGAUCCCCUAACGAUCUUAGACAACACGCCUCGAACCCAGUCAGACUCCUGCUUCAAGGGACUCAGGUGAGUUUAGUUACAAUUACUGUGUUUAUUCCACACGAAACACUGCGUUUCACUCAUUUUAUCCUUUUCCCCCAGUAGAUCGCCGUCGUGAAGGUGCGAUCUUGUGGUCACUUUAUACCGAGUCUUUCCCUCACUUUCUGAAGGGACAAGGGAG